rnacentral:lncRNA from 1 species
GCCAACAUAGGUGACUGUACUCGAACGAUUAUGCGACGUAUGUUGGAUUGUUUUCUCAUGAGAAAUUUCAACAUGGAUGGGCAGAGAGGCGGAAAGAGAAGUUUUAAAGAAACCAAUCUUUAUAAAUGUGUGAUUAGGUCUGUCCUAGAAAGAUAUCCAAAGGAAUCAGAGAAGACAGUCCAUCAGUUUAUUCAGGGCGUGUUGAAAAACGCACCAGCAUCACGAAAAUCUG